GAUGAACGCUGGCGGCGUGCCUAAUACAUGCAAGUCGAGCGAACAGACGAGGAGCUUGCUCCUCUGACGUUAGCGGCGGACGGGUGAGUAACACGUGGAUAACCUACCUAUAAGACUGGGAUAACUUCGGGAAACCGGAGCUAAUACCGGAUAAUAUAUUGAACCGCAUGGUUCAAUAGUGAAAGACGGUUUUGCUGUCACUUAUAGAUGGAUCCGCGCCGCAUUAGCUAGUUGGUAAGGUAACGGCUUACCAAGGCAACGAUGCGUAGCCGACCUGAGAGGAUGAUCGGCCACACUGGAACUGAGACACGGUCCAGACUCCUACGGGAGGCAGCAGUAGGGAAUCUUCCGCAAUGGGCGAAAGCCUGACGGAGCAACGCCGCGUGAGUGGUGAAGGUCUUCGGAUCGUAAAACUCUGUUAUUAGGGAAGAACAAAUGUGUAAGUAACUAUGCACGUCUUGACGGUACCUAAUCAGAAAGCCACGGCUAACUACGUG
rnacentral:rRNA from 1 species